GACAGAGGGGGCAAGCGUUGUCCGGAAUUACUGGGCGUAAAGCGCGCGCAGACGGCUCACGAUGUGCCUGGUGACAGUCCGCCGCUCAACGGCGGGAGGUCUGGGUAGACACGGGAGCUUGCAGCAGGGAGAGGGAUGUGGAAUACCCGGUGGAGCGGUGAAAUGCGUAGAGAUCGGGUGGAACACCAGUGGCGAAGGCGGCAUCCUGGCCCUGAUUGGACGUUGAGGCGCGACAGCGUGGGGAGCAAACGGG
rnacentral:rRNA from 1 species